AUGACCUAUGAGGCGUACGAUAUCAACGGCUACACAUUCUACACCGAGGCCAAGGACAUGAAGAGCGAUGGUUAUCAGAACUCCGGGGUAACGAUGGAAUCCUACACCGGUAACGACAAGGACAGAUACUACGGAAGGAUCGAGGAGAUCUGGGAGCUGAGCUACGCUGAAGAGAAGGUCCCGAUGUUCCGUGUCAGAUGGGCCAAGAACGUCAUAAAAGAAGACUGGUAUUUCACCACCAUGGUUAUACCCGAAGCCAAAUCCAAGACCGGGGGCGCAAACAUCACCGCGAAAAAUGAGCCAUGGGUACUGGCUUCCCAAGUGGACCAAUGCUUCUUCAUUACCGACCCGGCAAAGCCCAGUCGUGUUGUCGUGAGGAGAGGCAAAAGGAAGAUCAUCGGAAUGGAUGGAGUAGCCAAUGAGCAAGACUUCGACAAGUACGGCGACCCGAGGAUCGAACAUGACGACGAUGAUGAAGUAGCAGCAUACACCACAAGAAGAAGCAGGACCACCCUACCUAAAGGACGUCCGUUCCAUAGAAGAACUCCAUUUGCGAAAAAGAAGGGCAAGAAGAUUGUGAACAGAUAG
rnacentral:rRNA from 1 species